CUUGGACUGAAGCUAGGGGCUAUGGAGGUGUUGUUCUGAUAGACAUGGACUGAGGAUAGGGGCUAUGGAGGUGUUGUUCUGAUAGACAUGGACUGAGGAUAGGGGCUAUGGAGGUGCUGUUCUGACAGACAUGGACUGAGGAUAAGGGCUAUGGAGGUGCUGUUCUGAUAAACAUGGACUGAGGAUAGGGGCUAUGGAGGUGUUGUUCUGACAGACAUGGACUGAGGAUAAGGGCUAUGGAGGUGCUGUUCUGAUAAACAUGGACUGAGGAUAAGGGCUAUGGAGGUGCUGUUCUGACAGACAUGGACUGAGGAUAAGGGCUAUGGAGGUGCUGUUCUGAUAAACAUGGACUGAGGAUAGGGGCUAUGGAGGUGUUGUUCUGACAGACAUGGACUGAGGAUAAGGGCUAUGGAGGUGCUGUUCUGAUAAACAUGGACUGAGGAUAAGGGCUAUGGAGGUGCUGUUCUGAUAGACAUGGACUGAG
rnacentral:lncRNA from 1 species